CCGUUUACGUAUUUGCGAUGUUUUAUUAUAUUAUGUAAGUACACACACGUUAAAGACCGCGAAAACCGUACACCGCGGAUUCGGAAAAAGUGCCCCGUAUCGCUUUGUGUUUUUACAAUACUAUUUCCUGUGUAUGUGUAAUACACUGCAGUUAUGAGUCCUCGAUGCAUUUCUGGAUAACACCUAUAAGUAUACCCGCUGCAGUUUAACGAUCGGGGAACGAAAAAUCUACGGGAACAUAAUAUUAAGUCCGUUAUCUCGCGGAUA